CGGGUAGUAGAUCAGUGGUAGAGUUCCCUCUUCGUAUGCGGGAAGACCUGGGUUCGAUUCCCGGCUGCCUAC
rfam:Toxocara canis scaffold631, whole genome shotgun sequence.